GCGGCUCAGUGGUUAGAGCCCCUGUGUAGCACGCAGACGGGCGCGGGUUCAACCCCCGGUGGCG